GUUCAUGCACUUUAUGCAUCAUAGGGAAAGAGCCCAAUAUUUUUGUUUAACUUUAACAUUAAUCUUGGCAAAUAGAGUAGUAUGUCAACAAAAUGCAAAAUCAGUCAGAGGCUGCUUAUAUGUUACAAGUCUAGUGGAUGAUGCUUUCAAACCCAGAAACAUCCAGGAAUCCAUUGUGGCAAAUGUGGUCUCAGCAGCUCGGAGGAAGGUGCUUCCAGGGCCUC
rnacentral:lncRNA from 1 species